rnacentral:rRNA from 1 species
CCAGUGCCGCGUUGGGGUGAUACGAAGGCCCUACGGGGUUGUAAAAGCCCUUUCGCGGGAAGAUAAUGACGGUACCCGCAGAAGAAGCCCCGGCUAACUUCGUGC